GUUUUUAGUAAAUCAAUUUAUGUGAGUCUUGCAUUUUGGUGGUUGUGUUAAUAAGUGGAGUUCUUUUGAGUUUUUGAGAGUUGAGGAAUAUCCAGAGGUUAAGCUUUUCCGAUGAGCGGUAAAUGCCAGAACUUUCAUGAUUGUCGUUCAUGCCUUUUUCCGAUGAAGAUCCAGGCCAAUGACUAGCCGUAAAGCACCUAAAUGCCAACCUACCAGAUUCAGUGGUUUUUUUAGGCCUAUACGGCCGGAUAGAAAGUUGAGUGAUUUUCGUAGUGAUGGUAAAGCUGGAGGAAAAGAGGAGAUAUUCAACCAAUGUCAUGCAAGAUUAAGAAAUGCCAUUGAACGUGCUUUUGGUGUUGUUAAGUCGUAUUUCCCAAUAUUGAAGAGAAUGACACCUUAUUCGUUUACUACUCAAAACAAAAAUUGUUAUGACAUGCUUCUCCGUUCACAAUUUUCUUCGACAAAUCUCAGUUGCGGAUAGAUUAUUUUCUGAAUAUGACAAUGAAGUGGAGUUGAAAAGUGACAAUGCAAAUCAACUUCAAAACUCAACUACAAGCAGUUUUUUUGCAGCAUCUGAUCAAGAAUUCAUGCAACAGUUCUGAGACCAAAUUGCAAAUGAGCUUUUUCAAGUAUUUUAUUAAUUUGUUAUUUUUAGCUUUUUACCAUCGGAAGAAAUGCAAUGUUUGGAUUUUAACAUAUAAUGUGAUGUCUUUAGAUAUUUGAAAAUAUGUACUUGAAUUGUCAUGUUUUUUCUUUAAUUUGAUUUGGGUUUUAUCAAUCCAUUAUUUUUCA